rnacentral:rRNA from 1 species
CGCGUAGGCGGCCAUGUCAGUUGGGAGUGAAAAGCCCCCGGGCUCAACCUGGGAACUGCUCUCAAUACUGCGUGGCUUGAGAACGGGAGAGGGUAGUGGAAUUCCCAGUGUAGAGGUGAAAUUCGUAGAUAUUGGGAAGAACACCAGUGGCGAAGGCGGCUGCCUGGCCCGUUUCUGACGCUGAGGCGCGAAAGCGUGGGGAGCAAACA